CAAGGGAUAGCUCAGUGGUAGAGAGCUUGCCUAGAAUGCACGAGGUCCUGGGUUUCAAUCCCCAGUACCUCCA
rnacentral:tRNA from 1 species